GAGAAAUAGUAGUAUCUACAUAGCGAAAGAUGGAACUGAGAAUUGCUGAAGGAAAGGCUUCUUCACCGAAGAGAGAAAUCCGAUCAUUAAGAGCUCGAAAUCAUCGCAGUCUAAGGAACAAUCUAUUGGAAUCCAUUGCACAAGCUAACGUUGGAAGCGUAGUUUCUCAGGCGAAUGAAGAUGGGGUUGUGAGGAUGAAGCUGCUCGUAAGAAAACAAGAUUUAAGACAAAUGCUGGAAAUGAUGAGAUGUCAAGGCAAGAACAGUUCUCAACAGCAAUCUUUUUCGCAAACUUCGUCUUUGUCUGUAGAACAACGGUUAAAUCUUCUGCGGAAAAAGCACCUUUUACGAGCCAAUAAUGCAGCAGCAAAGGAGAGCCGCAGACGUUCUUGGUCUCCCGCCCUUCAAAGCAUUCCUGAGGAGUACUGAUUCUGAAUUCUGGGAAGCCUAAAUUGAAUCCAUUGUGAAUCCAGAAAGACAUUAGGCAUGUUGAGACUCAUUUGUUAAAUAGGUG
rnacentral:misc_RNA from 1 species